ensembl:lncRNA
AUAGUCAUAGCGCCACCUACUGGCAACAGGAAGUGACAUAUUUUUACACUGUAACAAACUACCCCGAGAAAUUUUAUGACAUACAUUUUUUUUUCAGUCACUCUAUUCUAAAGGCCUGUGCGAUGUUAAAUUGUGAAGAUCUUGAGUUUUCGUUAAAGGGCGUGUCCAUGGCGCCGUCACAAAAUUCGAUGUCUCGCCAUGGGAAUAAAAGUUAUUGUAACUCAGGCAUAAAAUGUCCGAUCUUGCCCAAACUUCACAUGUUCGAUAAGAGUCCUGGCCUGAACACAUCUGAAGGCCAAUAUUCCAUUGGGUGUGGAAAAAUGCCUCGAUAGCGCCACCUAUACAUUUUCAACGGAGUGCGCCUCGAGCUACGUUUCACGUACAUGUACAAAAA